AGUGGUUGUCAUUUGUUUAUCUGUUACAUAUUUGUUUUUCGUUCAUUUUUUUUAUACAAAUAAGGCCUUUAGUUUUCUUGUUUUCUUGUUUGAAUUGUUUUACAUUGUCAUGAAUAUCGAGGCCUUUGAUUGCUGACUAUACGGUAUGGGCUUUGCUCAUUGUUGAAGGCCGUACGGUGACCUAUAGCUGUUAAUGUCUGUGUCAUUUUGGUCUCUUG
rnacentral:lncRNA from 1 species